UGCAGGUGAGUGAGGGCUGGUAGAGGAUUCUGAGAGAUGCAUGUGACUGAGGGCUAGUAGAGGAUGCUGAGAGAUGCAGGUGAGUGAGGGCUGGUAGAGGAUGCUGAGAGAUGCAGGUGAGUGAGGGCUGGUAGAGGAUGCUGAGAGAUGCAGGCGAGUGAGGGCUGGUAGAGGAUGCUGAGAGAUGCAGGUGAGUGAGGGCUGGUAGAGGAUGCUGAGAGAUGCAGGUGAGUGAGGGCUGGUAGAGGAUGCUGAGAGAUGCAGGUGAGUGAGGGCUGGUAGAGGAUGCUGAGAGAUGCAGGUGAGCGAGGGCUGGUAGAGGAUGCUGAGAGAUGCAGGUGAGUGAGGGCUGGUAGAGGAUGCUGAGAGAUGCAGGUGAGUGAGGGCUGGUAGAGGAUGCUGAGAGAUGCAGGUGAGUGAGGGCUGGUAGAGGAUGCUGAGAGAUGCAGGUGAGCGAGGGCUGGUAGAGGAUGCUGAGAGAUGCAGGUGAGUGAGGGCUGGUAGAGGAUGCUGAGAGAUGCAGGUGAGUGAGGGCUGGUAGAGGAUGCUGAGAGAUGCAGGUGAGUGAGGGCUGGUAGAGGAUGCUGAGAGAUGCAGGUGAGUGAGGGCUGGUAGAGGAAGCUGAGAGAUGCAGGUGAGCGAGGGCUGGUAGAGGAUGCUGAGAGAUGCAGGUGAGUGAGGGCUGGUAGAGGAUGCUGAGAGAUGCAGGUGAGUGAGGGCAGGUAGAGGAAGCUGAGAGAUGCAGGUGAGUGAGGGCAGGUAGAGGAAGAGGAUGGCUGAUCACAGCUGCCACACGUGAUAUGCAC